AUGCCUACUCCACAAAAUAGGCAUAUUACCGCUAAAAUAAAGGAGGAUAAACCCGUUCGGCUCACGGUGCGGCAGUGUGGAGACCUGUCGUAAUGCUUCCGCGGUUUUGCUCUGCGGAAUGCGAGGAUGCACCCGAGGAUUCGGUGCGUUUGGAGCCAAAAAAGUAUGGCA
rnacentral:ncRNA from 1 species